rnacentral:tRNA from 542 species
GCGACACUAGCUCAGUUGGUAGAGCGCAACCUUGCCAAGGUUGAGGUCACGAGUUCGAACCUCGUGUGUCGCUCCA